rnacentral:rRNA from 1 species
UGAGGAAUUUUCCGCAAUGGGCGAAAGCCUGACGGAGCAAUACCGCGUGAAGGAAGAAGGCCCGUGGGUCGUAAACUUCUUUUCUCAGAGAAGAAGAUCUGACGGUAUCUGAGGAAUAAGCGCCGGCUAAGUCUGUGCCAGCAGCCGCGGUAAUACAGACGGCGCAAGCGUUAUCCGGAAUGAUUGGGCGUAAAGCGUCUGUAGGUGGUUCCCGAAGUCUACUGUCAAAUCCCAGGGCUCAACCUUGGACAGGCAGUGGAGAACUCGGGGGCUAGAGUACGGUAGGGGUAGAGGGAAUUCCCGGUGAAGCAGUGAAAUGCACAGAGAUCGGGAAGAACACCAGUGGCGAAGGCGCUCUACUAGGCCGUGACUGACACUGAGAGACGAUAGCUAGGGGAGCGAAUAG